UGAUACAGGUCUGUGGAUGAACUUCAUGGAUAAUAGGGAAGAGAGGUGAAAAUCCUACACAGUCCCGCUGCUGUAAUAGUUGAGCUAUUUAUAAUUGCCACUGCCUUUAAUAAGGUGGGAAGGCAUAAAUAGUGUUGAAGCUUGAGUCAGAAGACCUGCCUGUAUUGAUU
rnacentral:ncRNA from 1 species